AGACCUGUGCCAUGAAGAACAGGUUGGAUCGCUCCACCUGGAGGGCUGGCAAAGUUUAAUGUUGAUGUUGCAGUGGGAAGAUGGAGAGGACAUGGAGCUGUAGCAGCGAUUUCAAGAGAUUCAGACGGAAAUUUCUUGGGAGCUUCAGCUGUGGUCUUUGCAGGAAUUUCUGAACCGGCGACACUCGAAUGCAUGGCGAUCAGGGAGGCUCUAGCUCUAGCUGAUGAUUUGAACGUGACAAACAUCCAGCUGGCUUCCGAUGCAAAGGUGGUGGUACAAGAUAUCCAGCAGAAGAAUCCGACAGAAUAUGGAGCGAUCAUACAUGAAAUACUAAAGCAUACAUUGUCUUUCCAAGUUUGUAAUAUUUCUCACAAACUUAGGAGCUCGAAUAUCGAGGCUCACAAGCUCGCGAAGCACGCAUUAUCCCUCCCGGUUGGCCGACAUGUUUGGUUGGGACAGCCGGGCGGUCUUUCGUUCGUCCUUGUAAACAUUGUGACGUGUGAAUAA
rnacentral:rRNA from 1 species